UUACAACUCCCAAACCCAAUGUGAACCAUACCAAACUGUUGCCUCGGCGGGGUCACGCCCCGGGUGCGUCGCAGCCCCGGAACCAGGCGCCCGCCGGAGGGACCAACCAAACUCUUUCUGUAGUCCCCUCGCGGACGUUAUUUCUUACAGCUCUGAGCAAAAAUUCAAAAUGAAUCAAAACUUUCAACAACGGAUCUCUUGGUUCUGGCAUCGAUGAAGAACGCAGCGAAAUGCGAUAAGUAAUGUGAAUUGCAGAAUUCAGUGAAUCAUCGAAUCUUUGAACGCACAUUGCGCCCGCCAGUAUUCUGGCGGGCAUGCCUGUCCGAGCGUCAUUUCAACCCUCGAACCCCUCCGGGGGGUCGGCGUUGGGGAUCGGGAACCCCUAAGACGGGAUCCCGGCCCCGAAAUACAGUGGCGGUCUCGCCGCAGCCUCUCCUGCGCAGUAGUUUGCACAACUCGCACCGGGAGCGCGGCGCGUCCACGUCCGUAAAACACCCAACUUCUGAAAUGUUGACCUCGGAUCAGGUAGGAAUACCCGCUGAACUUAA
rnacentral:rRNA from 1 species